rfam:Aedes albopictus isolate Foshan contig13399, whole genome shotgun sequence.
UAGUCUAGUGGUUAAGGCUACGGAUGGCCAAUCCGGAGACGGCGGGUUCGAUUCCCGU